GAGUUUGAUCCUGGCUCAGGAUGAACGCUAGCGGCAGGCUUAACACAUGCAAGUCGAGGGGUAGAUAUCUUCGGAUAUUGAGACCGGCGCACGGGUGCGUAACGCGUAUGCAAUCUACCUUAUACAGGGGGAUAGCCCAGAGAAAUUUGGAUUAAUACCCCAUAGUGUAAUUGAAUGGCAUCAUUUAAUUACUAAAGUUCCAACGGUAUAAGAUGAGCAUGCGUCCCAUUAGCUAGUUGGUGUGGUAACGGCACACCAAGGCAACGAUGGGUAGGGGUCCUGAGAGGGAGAUCCCCCACACUGGUACUGAGACACGGACCAGACUCCUACGGGAGGCAGCAGUGAGGAAUAUUGGUCAAUGGGCGCAAGCCCGAACCAGCCAUGCCGCGUGCAGGAUGACGGUCCUAUGGAUUGUAAACUGCUUUUGUACAGGAAGAAACACUCCCUCGUGAGGGAGCUUGACGGUACUGUAAGAAUAAGGAUCGGCUAACUCCGUGCCAGCAGCCGCGGUAAUACGGAGGAUCCAAGCGUUAUCCGGAAUCAUUGGGUUUAAAGGGUCCGUAGGCGGUUUUAUAAGUCAGUGGUGAAAUCUGGUCGCUCAACGAUCAAACGGCCAUUGAUACUGUAAGACUUGAAUUACUUGGAAGUAACUAGAAUAUGUAGUGUAGCGGUGAAAUGCUUAGAGAUUACAUGGAAUACCAAUUGCGAAGGCAGGUUACUACAGUAUAUUGACGCUGAUGGACGAAAGCGUGGGGAGCGAACAGGAUUAGAUACCUGGUAGUCACGCCGUAAACGAUGGAUACUAGCUGUUUGGAGCAAUCUGAGUGGCUAAGCGAAAGUGAUAAGUAUCCCACUGGGGAGUACGCUCGCAAGAGUGAAACUCAAAGGAAUUGACGGGGGCCCGCACAAGCGGAGGAGCAUGUGGUUUAAUUCGAUGAUACGCGAGGAACCUUACCAAGGCUUAAAUGGGAAACGACAGGUUUGGAAACAGACUUUUCUUCGGACGUUUUUCAAGGUGCUGCAUGGUUGUCGUCAGCUCGUGCCGUGAGGUGUCAGGUUAAGUCCUAUAACGAGCGCAACCCCUGUUGUUAGUUGCCAGCGAGUCAUGUCGGGAACUCUAACAAGACUGCCAGUGCAAACUGUGAGGAAGGUGGGGAUGACGUCAAAUCAUCACGGCCCUUACGCCUUGGGCUACACACGUGCUACAAUGGACGGUACAGAGAGCAGCCACUACGCAAGUAGGAGCGAAUCUACAAAACCGUUCUCAGUUCGGAUCGGAGUCUGCAACUCGACUCCGUGAAGCUGGAUUCGCUAGUAAUCGCAGAUCAGCCAUGCUGCGGUGAAUACGUUCCCGGGCCUUGUACACACCGCCCGUCAAGCCAUGGAAGCUGGGGGUACCUGAAGUCGGCGACCGCAAGGAGCUGCCUAGGGUAAAACUGGUAACUAGGGCUAAGUCGCAACAAGGUAACC
rnacentral:rRNA from 1 species